UUCUGCAGGACUUUCUACCUCACAAGCUUGUGGAGCUGGAGGAGACACUACCUUAUUUGCAAGUCCUGAGCUAAAACCGAGAGCUGCUCUAAGGGGACGUAUGGCUACUUCCAGACCAGAGUACCCAUCAGUUCUGCAGGAAGGCUGCUCUGUGCCCAGCAGCACUUCAGCAGAAGAAAGGAGCAUCCUUGAUGCGGAGUACUCUGAGUUAGAUUUCAUCUUGACUUCUCAUUCUAACAAACACUGAGGAGGUGUCUUGAGGUACUCUGUUGUUGCAGCAGCCCAGGUGAAGCUUGUGGAAUCUUUCUGCACCAGCUGCCAGCAGCCUGACUCUCUCACUGAGAGCUCUAAAGAGCAACAGGUGGGACCUUCCCAAGGCACGCUGUAGGGGAAACCCAACAGUGCCUGCAGCAUACUUAUGGAAGAAGUUGUCAUUGGCAGAUGAAUGCAGUUACAGGUCAGUUCUGUAAAUGCUUAGCUGUAUGCCGAAGCAUGAAUUCUGACGGACCCACUGCUGGUUUUGAAUUCAAGCUUGCCUUUACGUGGCCUCGAAAAACCUUCUACUUGGGUGUAUAUUUUUCUACACAAACCCACGAGAGGGCAGCAGACAGCAAGGGUUCGGGCAGUGCCUCACUGCAGGCAGCUCAGGCAGCACCCAGCAAACGGGGAACGAAGCUGGUCGUUGGUUACAGAGCAUUAAAACCAUCUCGAGUCGGGUCUGGAAAGAAAAUGUGAUAGAUACUGUAAUUUUAGAUGAACUUUGUCUCUGACAUUGGAAUCUGCCACUCUCCUUUGGCUCCUGUUUUUACAUUUGUAAGGGCUGUGUUUUUAUUGAAAGGAGGAUGGAAGCAAGCUGGGUUUAAAAACAAUUAUCAUGAUAGUAAAGGUGCUGUGGAUAUAAUGGAAAAAAUAUAGUGAAAUAAAAAUUGUGAAAAUUAAUGGUAAUGAAUUGUAACAACACACUUGACAGCUAUUUCAAGGCUUGAAAUAGCACAGAUAAUUAGACAACUGAGAAGUUGCUACAGCAUGUAUGGUUUUGUUCAUACUCAGAUCAUUUUAUCUUAUUAAAAAACAUGAAUUCAGAGACUGUUGCAAUCACUGGAACAACUGAACUACUUAUAUGCAAUUGGAAUUUCUCACUUAGGCCCAAUAGCGUGGCAUGCUAUGUUUCUGAAUGUAGUAUUUCAUUAAUUAGAAAUUAAAUCACCCAUGCUUGUGACAGUAACACAUUGGCUUUGUAAUGUAGUGAUAAUGAAAAGGAUGCAUCUGAUGUACAAAAAAUUCAGCAUGCCUGUGUGGUUGAAUUGUUUUAAUUCUGAGUGUUAAUAGAUGGAUUUUUUUCUGUGAGUUAAGACCUAAAUAUUUAAUGUUCUUCUCUCAUAGAAGGUGACUUUCUGAAUAUUGAUUAGUCAGUGAACUAAUGAAACUAAACAAAGAUCUAAACCAACAUGCGAUGGGGUCUUUUAAGCAUUUUACAGGCACAACAUGCAUUUUUGUAUGCCUCUCUUACUUUUCUGUGGUAGCAGAUGCUAAACCUCACUUGUAACACAUGUGGUUUACCUUCAGUGAUAGUAUAGUGGAAAUGCUGAGUCAUGGCUUGAAGCAGUGAUUGAGCACCU
rnacentral:lncRNA from 7 species